UACGGAGGGCGCAAGAGUUGUUCGGAAUCAUUGGGCGUAAAGCGCGUGUAGGCGGCUUGGUAAGUCGAGUGUGAAAGCCCGGGGCUCAACCCCGGAAGGUCGCUCGAAACUGCCUCGCUCGAGUCCCGGAGAGGAAGGCGGAAUUCCCGGUGUAGAGGUGAAAUUCGUAGAUAUCGGGAGGAACACCAGCGGCGAAGGCGGCCUUCUGGACGGUGACUGACGCUGAGACGCGAAAGCGUGGGGAGCAAACAGG
rnacentral:rRNA from 1 species